rnacentral:rRNA from 1 species
UACAGAGGGUGCGAGCGUUGUUCGGAAUUAGUGGGCGUAAAGCGCACGUAGGCGGAUUGUUAAGUCAGAGGUGAAAUCCCGGAGCUCAACUUCGGAACUGCCUUUGAUACUGGCAAUCUAGAGUCCGGAAGAGGUUAGUGGAAUUCCCAGUGUAGAGGUGAAAUUCGUAGAUAUUGGGAAGAACACCAGUGGCGAAGGCGGCUAACUGGUCCGGUACUGACGCUGAG